rnacentral:rRNA from 1 species
UACGGAGGGUGCAAACGUUGCUCGGAAUCAUUGGGCGUAAAGCGCACGUAGGUGGUCUGUUAAGUCGGAUGUGAAAGCCCCGGGCUCAACCCAGGAAGUGCAUUCGAAACUGGCAGGCUUGAGUAUGGAAGAGGGUCGCGGAAUUCCCGGUGUAGAGGUGAAAUUCGUAGAUAUCGGGAGGAACACCAGUGGCGAAGGCGGCGACCUGGGCCAAUACUGACACUGAGGUGCGAAAGCGUGGGGAGCAAACAGG